rnacentral:tRNA from 1 species
UCCAUUAAUCCAGUGGUUAGGAUUCCUGGCUUUCAUCCAGGAAGCCCAGGGUUCGAUUCUCAGCAAAGGAA